GCGGGGUGGAGCAGCUUGGUAGCUCGUCGGGCUCAUAACCCGAAGGUCGUUGGUUCAAAUCCAGCCCCCGCAA
rnacentral:tRNA from 1 species